ACGGAAGGCAGCAGUGGGGAAUAUUGGGCAAUGGGGGAAACCCUGACCCAGCAACGCCGCGUGAGGGAAGAAGGUCUUCGGAUUGUAAACCUCUUUCGGCAAGGAAGAAGAAAGUGACGGUACUUGCAGAAGAAGCCACGGCUAACUACGUGCCAGCAGCCGCGGUAAUACGUAGGUGGCGAGCGUGAUCCGGAAUUACUGGGUGUAAAGGGUGUGUAGGCGGGGAACCAAGUCAGAUGUGAAAAUUAUGGGCUCAACCCAUAACCUGCGUCUGAAACUGGCUCUCUUGAGAGUGGGAGAGGUAAACGGAAUUCCUGGUGUAGCGGUGAAAUGCGUAGAUAUCAGGAGGAACACCGGUGGCGAAGGCGGUUUACUGGACCACAACUGACGCUGAGACACGAAAGCGUGGGGAGCAAACAGGAUUAGAUACCCUGGUA
rnacentral:rRNA from 1 species